rnacentral:rRNA from 1 species
GUCUAUGGCCACACCACCCCAAAUGUACCUGAUCUUGUCUGAUCUCGGAAGUUAAGCUGGGUCAGGCUUGGUUAGUACGUGGAUGGGAGAACAGGGCACGAGUGAGAGGAAGGCUCCUAAGGCU